rnacentral:rRNA from 1 species
GAUGAACGCUGGCGGUAUGCUUAACACAUGCAAGUCGAACGGGGACCUUCGGGUCCUAGUGGCGGACGGGUGAGUAACGCGUGAGAACAUGCCUUUAGAUUGGGGACAACAGUUGGAAACGACUGCUAAUACCGAAUGUGCCGAAAGGUGAAAGAUUAAUUGUCUAAAGAUUGGCUCGCGUCAGAUUAGCUAGUUGGAGUGGUAACGGCACACCAAGGCGACGAUCUGUACUUGGUCUGAGAGGAUGACCAGGCACACUGGAACUGAGACACGGUCCAGACUCCUACGGGAGGCAGCAGUGGGGAAUUUUCCGCAAUGGGCGAAAGCCUGACGGAGCAACGCCGCGUGAGGGAGGAAGGUCUUUGGAUUGUAAACCUCUUUUCUCAAGGAAGAAGUUCUGACGGUACUUGAGGAAUCAGCCUCGGCUAACUCCGUGCCAGCAGCCGCGGUAAU